UCAAUUUCAAAUCCCAAGCAAUAUAGAAAAAACACGCACUGUAUAAAACGAACCAAAGAAAAUAAUCAAUCAUCUCUGCCCAAACACAAUCACACACCACAAUCACCGCACCUCCUCCGCCACCGCUGCAGCCGCCGUCGCCGCUCCGGGUCGCAUUCCUCCGGCGGGGUCAGAUUUCAAACUUCCAUCCCCUCGGCGAAUUUUCCAUCCGCGGCGAUGCCGGCCUCCGUGGCUUCGAGUAAUUCCAGCCGCCCGGAGGACUUGAUCGGAAGGCUGAGCUUACCGCAGGCACCAUACGAGGCUAAGCUGAAAGCUCUGAGGGACUUGAAGAACCAGAUAAUUGGAAAUCGCACAAAAAAGCUGGCCUUCCUGAAGCUCGGCGCCGUGCCUUCUAUUGUCGCUAUUCUGGCCUCCUCUGCCACCGCCUCAGGCGGCGGAGGGGACUGCCGUGACUUCCAUGAGUCGUUUUUGAUCCAGUCCGCAGCGGCUAUCGGGAGCUUUGCAUGCGGAUUGGAUACUGGAGUUAAGGCUGUGCUGGAUGCCGGGGCUUUUCCCAUUUUGUUCAGUCUUAUUUCCCAUCCAAAUCAGAAAGUAUACUUCUUUACUUGAUUCUUCUGGAAUUCAUGAACUUGUAGUUCUGCGCUAUAUNUAGUAACUCAGGUAGCUUAGUUUUUUUGCUGUCCAAAAUAAAAUAAAAAAUUACAUUCUCCCAUCUCCAUUUUGAAUAAAAAAAUAAAAGAAGAGAAGGAAAAAAAAUUAUUAGCUCAUAAAUGCAUUAAUUUUGGAUCAAUUUUGAUUUUUCAAUAUAGAAUUUUUAAAAAAGUGUAAAAAAUACAUCAAUUUAUUAAUUAUAGUAAUUUUGACGUGAAUUCAAGUUUUAUUCAAAUUGAACUGAUGUGGCACGUCAGAAUGUCGAUUGUGGAAAAAUCAGACGUUUAUAAAAAACAAAUACGUCAUCUCAGCGUCGUCAUUUCUUUAAAAUAAUAUUUUCCUGUUCAAAUUGAACAAAUAUCAAAAUUGAGAUGUCGACAUUAGGAGAGUUUCGUUCUAUUUGCUGCUAAUGUCAUUAGAAAGACGAAAUUUUAGUGUUAUGUUUGAGUUUAAUUCAUAUCAUUAAUUUUAAAAUUAAUUUCAAAAUUAAUUCAUUCAAAUUUUCAAUUAAUUAUCAAAAUUAGCUUUAAUUUAAUCAGAAAUAAAUUCAUGUAAAAUUUGCUGAGAUUAAUAAAUUAAUGUAUUUUUUAAUAUCUAUUAAAAUUUAUAUAAAUAAUCAGAAUUAAUUUAAAAUUAAUGUAUUUAUUUAUGCACUAAUUAGUAAUUACCCAGAUAAAAAUGAGAGAAUAAAAUAAAUCGGUUGUACGGUAAUUUACAGUCUUCCACUCAAUUUCAAAUCCCAAGCAAAAGCAAUAUAGAAAAAACACGCACUGUAUAAAACGAACCAAAGAAAAUAAUCAAUCAUCUCUGCCCAAACACAAUCACACACCACAAUCACCGCACCUCCUCCGCCACCGCUGCAGCCGCCGUCGCCGCUCCGGGUCGCAUUCCUCCGGCGGGGUCAGAUUUCAAACUUCCAUCCCCUCGGCGAAUUUUCCAUCCGCGGCGAUGCCGGCCUCCGUGGCUUCGAGUAAUUCCAGCCGCCCGGAGGACUUGAUCGGAAGGCUGAGCUUACCGCAGGCACCAUACGAGGCUAAGCUG
rnacentral:lncRNA from 1 species